AUUGAACGCUGGCGGCAGGCCUAACACAUGCAAGUCGAGCGGAUGAAGGGAGCUUGCUCCUGGAUUCAGCGGCGGACGGGUGAGUAAUGCCUAGGAAUCUGCCUGGUAGUGGGGGAUAACGUCCGGAAACGGGCGCUAAUACCGCAUACGUCCUGAGGGAGAGAGUGGGGGAUCUUCGGACCUCACGCUAUCAGAUGAGCCUAGGUCGGAUUAGCUAGUUGGUGGGGUAAAGGCCUACCAAGGCGACGAUCCGGAACUGGUCUGAGAGGAUGAUCAGUCACACUGGAACUGAGACACGGUCACGACUCCUCCGGGAGGCAGCCGUGGCGAAUACUGGACGCUGCGCGAAAGCCUGAUCCAGCCAUGCCGCGUGCGUGAAGAAGGUCUUCGGAUUGUAAAGCACUUUAAGUUGGGAGGAAGGGCAGUAAGUUAAUACCUUGCUGUUUUGACGUUACCAACAGAAUAAGCACCGGCUAACUUCGUG
rnacentral:rRNA from 1 species